rnacentral:lncRNA from 1 species
CACCCGUGUGCCUACUGAGGACACGUCAGGGUGCUCCUGGCAGAUCUGAUUGCCUUCUGGUUCUUAGUAGCCGCCCCCUUAGGGAGCACAGCCAAUGGCUCUGUUUUUAAGUGGUAAAAUAACUCUUCUCUGUUAGGUUAUACAUACCGAUAUGAUACUGCUAUGUUUAUAGUUUUCUUUUGCUUUCGAUCUUUAGGGUUUAAAAUUUUUGAUUUAAUUUUGGUUUAUUAAUGUAAAAUAGUCACAUGGUUCCAAGGUCAAACGUGCCAAACAAGGUAUAUUCAAAUGAUUUUUCAUAUGGUAUUUAUCUCAUGACUAAUCC